CACUGUUACGGGGAGGGGGGGAGACAACAACCGGAAACAACACCCGGAUGACAGCUGGGGACCACACCAGGACGACACCGUCACCCACAGAGGGGACGACACCCAGACAACGCUGUCACGGGGGGGACAACACCAGGACAACAGCAUCAGCACUGAGACAACCACAUCAGCAACAGGCAGACAACAGCUGGGACAACACCAUCAGCACCGGAGACAACCGCAAAGCACCACGUGGCAGACGGUGAAGAGGAAGGCGGCCAUCUGCAGCGACUGCGUGUGGGGCAGCCGGGGGGUCAGCGCGACCCACGGCGACCCACGGCGACCCACCGCCCCCCCCCCAUCCCCCCGGAGCUGUGGGGCAGGCCGGGACCCCACCCCCCCGGUACCCUGCUAUUAACGUGCUAUUAAUGGGCUAUUAACGUGUUAUUAGCAUGUUAUUAGCGUGUUAUUAGCGUGCAAUUGGCACGUUAUUGCUGCGUUAUUAGAGCGUCAUUAGCGGGUUAUUAGCACGUUAUUAUUAGCGCGUGAUUAAGUCAUUAUUAGCGUGUUGCAUUA